rnacentral:misc_RNA from 1 species
GAUGAAGAACGCAGUAAAAUGCGAUAAGUAAUGUGAAUUGCAGAAUUCAGUGAAUCAUCGAAUCUUUGAACGCACAUUGCGCCCGCCAGUAUUCUGGCGGGCAUGCCUGUUCGAGCGUCAUUUCAACCCUCAAGCACAGCUUGGUGUUGGGACUCGCGUUAAUUCGCGUUCCCCAAAUUGAUUGGCGGUCACGUCGAGCUUCCAUAGCGUAGUAGUAAAACCCUCGUUACUGGUAAUCGUCGCGGCCACGCCGUUAAACCCCAACUUCUGAAUGUUGACCUCUGAUCAGGUAGGAAUACCCGCUGAACUUAAGCAUAUCAAUAAGCGGAGGA